rnacentral:rRNA from 1 species
UGCCAGUCAUAUGCUUGUCUCAAAGAUUAAGCCAUGCAUGUCUGAGUACAGACCGAUCUAAGGUGAAACCGCGAAUGGCUCAUUAAAUCAGUCAUAAUUCCUUGGAUAGUGAAAAACUUUCCUCGGAUAACUGUGGAAAAUCCAGAGCUAAUACGUGCAACUGAGCUCCGACCUUGACGCGAGUCUCGGGAAGAGCGCAUUUAUUAGAUUCAAAACUGUCCGAUGUAAUCCUUCGGGAUAUAUCGUUCUUAAAAUGUUUGAUGACUCCGGAUAACUUAGCCGAGCGCUACGGUCUUUAGUACCGGCGCCGUAUCUUUCAAGUGUCUGCCUUAUCAGCUUUCGAUUGUAGGUUAAACGCCUACAAUGGCUGUAACGGGUAACGGGGAAUCAGGGUUCGAUUCCGGAGAGGGAGCCUGAGAAAUGGCUACCACAUCUAAGGAAGGCAGCAGGCACGCAAAUUACCCACUCCCAGCCCGGGGAGGUAGUGACGAAAAAUAACGAUGCGAGACUCUUCCGAGGCCUCGCAAUCGGAAUGAGUCCAUUUUAAAUACUUGGACGAGGAUCCAUUGGAGGGCAAGUCUGGUGCCAGCAGCCGCGGUAAUUCCAGCUCUAAUAGCGUAUAUUAAAGUUGCUGCGGUUAAAAAGCUCGUAGUUGGACUUCCUAGAUCCAAUUCGCGGGUGAGUCGCUCUUCGUACUAGCGUCUCGAGCGGUUCCUCCUCGUUGACGUAGUUGCUCGCGAAUUCUUUCGGAUUUCGGCUUUCGGGUCGUUUUCUCGGGAGUUCCUCGCGUCUUCUGCAGAUACUUGCGUGGAAUUUCGAGGCGUUGUCUUAGAGUAUAGCUCGUCCGCGUUUGGUACAAUUAAAAAUUUGUCGGCUCGCUCGGAGUGCUCUUCACCGAGUGUUCCAGGGUGGCUGACACGUUCACUUUGAAAAAAUUAGAGUGCUUAAAGCGGGCUUAUUUACGGCCUGAAUGUCUGUGCAUGGAAUGAAGUAACAGGACCUCGAUUCUGUUCUUUUUGUCGGUUUUAAUGAACCGAGGUAAUGAUUAAAAGGGACAGACGGUGGCAUUAGUAUUGCGGCGCUAGAGGUGAAAUUCUUGGACCGUCGCAAGACUAACUACUGCGAAAGCAUUUGCCGAGAAUGUUUUCAUUAAUCAAGAACGAAAGUUAGAGGAUCGAAGGCGAUCAGAUACCGCCCUAGUUCUAACCCUAAACUAUGCUAACUAGCGAUCCGCCGGAGUCAUUCCCACGACCCGGCGGGAAGCCCCAGGGAAACCAAAGUCUUUGAGUUCCGGGGGAAGUAUGGUUGCAAAUCUGAAACUUAAAGGAAUUGACGGAAGGGCACCACCAGGAGUGGAGCCUGCGGCUUAAUUUGACUCAACACGGGAAACCUCACCAGGCCCGGACAUCAUAAGGAUUGACAGGUUGAGAGCUCUUUCUCGAUUUGAUGGGUGGUGGUGCAUGGCCGUUCUUAGUUGGUGGAGUGAUCUGUCUGGUUGAUUCCGAUAACGAACGAGACUCUACCCUACUAACUAGUCGGUGGAUCGUAACCCUGAGAUGGUUAGUUUGUAUAGGAUUGUUUCGCCUAAAGCGGGGCUCGAUCGAUAAGCGUAUUUAUCUUUUUCUAUCACGCUCUAGCUUUUGCGCGUGUCGAGGGUUUGGGGGGCGCGUGUGCUGUUUUUUCAGAAGAACGCUCACGAUGUUCUCCGGCUCUCGCGCGCGUGAUUGUUAAGGGUUGUCGAUGUUAAGGAGGUGCGGGGAUAGUUCGAAUACCUUCGCCGAAGCAACUUUCUGAUUACUGCUACUGCUGGGGGCGUCCGUCGCAAUGUAUCUUCUUAGAGGGAUCAGCGGCGUAUAGCCGCACGAGAAAGAGCAAUAACAGGUCUGUGAUGCCCUUAGAUGUUCUGGGCCGCACGCGCGCUACAAUGUAGGGUUCAGCGUGCUUUCCCUCUCCGAAAGGAGUGGGUAACCCGAUGAAACCCCUACCCGAUUGGGAUUGGGGAUUGCAAUUAUUUCCCAUAAACGAGGAAUUCCCAGUAAGCGCGAGUCAUCAGCUCGUGUUGAUUACGUCCCUGCCCUUUGUACACACCGCCCGUCGCUACUACCGAUUGAAUGAUUCAGUGAGGGCAUCGGACUGGCCCUUCGGUUUAGUAACCUAGACCUUAGGCUGACGGAAAGAUGUCCGAACUGAUC